GCCUCGUUAGCGCAAUAGGCAGCGCGUUAGUCUCAUAAUCAAAUGUAGAAAUCAUGAGUUCGAUCCUCACACGGGGCA
rfam:Nematostella vectensis strain CH2 x CH6 NEMVEscaffold_477_Cont28272, whole genome shotgun sequence.